UUUGUUUGUUGGGGUGGGAGUUCCAUGAGUGAUAAGCCCACUACCCAGGCUUGAGCGUACACACAGGUUUUAGAGUGGAUAGUCAUGAGACUUGCGUGGCAUGUUGCUACGUUAAGUCGUUCAUGAAGUCCCACAUUCCAGAUGAUGUUUCUUUUGGAUAUACUUUGUCUUAUGGGUGUUCCAUAACGACAGGUGUUCCUUUAGAAAUCGUCGACUCUGGUGACCAUUUCCCGAGAACUCAGUCGAG
rnacentral:lncRNA from 1 species